UGUAAAAUUGCAGGAUCAUAUGGUAAUUCUGUAACUCCGUUUUAACUUUUUGAAGAACCAUAAAACUGUUUUCCACAGCAGUUGCACCAUUUCACAUUUCCAUUGGCAAU
rnacentral:pre_miRNA from 1 species